UCUGCUCUGGCAGCACACUAAACUGGAAUGAUACGGAGAUCAGCAUGUCCCCCUAGCAACGGUGACAAAGACAUUUAUGAUUUGUUCCAAGUAAAA
rnacentral:snRNA from 1 species